rnacentral:rRNA from 1 species
AACGUACGCUGGCGGCACGCCUAACACAUGCAAGUCGAACGAAGUAGCAAUACUUAGUGGCAGACGGGUGAGUAACAUGUAGGUAUCUGCCCUUUGGCCUGGAAUAACACGAGGAAACUUGUGCUAAUACCGGAUAAGUCUUUACGGAGAAAGCUUUAUGCACCAUUGGAUGAGCCUGCACUUGAUUAGUUUGUUGGUGGGGUAAUGGCCUACCAAGACUGUGAUCAAUAGCUGAUUUGAGAGGAUGAUCAGCCACAUUGGGACUGAGACACGGCCCAAACUCCUACGGGAGGCAGCAGUGGGGAAUCUUGCACAAUGGAGGAAACUCUGAUGCAGCGAUGCCGCGUGAGUGAAGAAGGCCCUUGGGUUGUAAAGCUCUUUCGUCGGGGAAGAAAAUGACUGUACCCGAAUAAGAAGGUCCGGCUAACUUCGUGCCAGCAGCCGCGGUAAUACGAAGGGACCUAGCGUAGUUCGGAAUUACUGGGCUUAAAGAGUUCGUAGGUGGUUGAAAAAGUUAGUGGUGAAAUCCCAGAGCUUAACUCUGGAACUGCCAUUAAAACUUUUCAGCUAGAGUAUGAUAGAGGAAAGCAGAAUUUCUAGUGUAGAGGUGAAAUUCGUAGAUAUUAGAAAGAAUACCAAUUGCGAAGGCAGCUUUCUGGAUCAUUACUGACACUGAGGAACGAAAGCAUGGGUAGCGAAGAGGAUUAGAUACCCUCGUAGUCCAUGCCGUAAACGAUGUGUGUUAGACGUUGGAAAUUUAUUUUCAGUGUCGCAGGGAAACCGAUAAACACACCGCCUGGGGAGUACGACCGCAAGGUUAAAACUCAAAUGAAUUGACGGGGACCCGCACAAGUAGUGGAGCAUGUGGUUUAAUUCGAAGAUACGCGCAGAACCUUACCAACACUUGACAUGUUCGUCGCGACUCUAAGAGAUUAGAGUUUUCGGUUCGGCCGGACGAAACACAGGUGCUGCAUGGCUGUCGUCAGCUCGUGUCGUGAGAUGUUGGGUUAAGUCCCGCAACGAGCGCAACCCUCACUUUUAGUUGCCAUCAUUAAGUUGGGCACUCUGAAAGAACUGCCAGUGAUAAGCUGGAGGAAGGUGGGGAUGACGUCAAGUCCUCAUGGCCCUUACGUGUUGGGCUACACACGUGCUACAAUGGUAUCUACAACAGGAAGCAAGACUGCGAAGUUAAGCAAAUCCCUAAAAGAUACCUCAGUUCGGAUUGCACUCUGCAAACUCGAGUGCAUGAAGCUGGAAUUACUAGUAAUCGUGGAUCAGCGUGCCACGGUGAAUGCGUUCCCGGGUCU